rnacentral:rRNA from 1 species
UCGGGAAUUUUGGGCAAUGGGCGAAAGCCUGACCCAGCAACGCCGCGUGAAGGAUGAAGUAUUUCGGUAUGUAAACUUCGAAAGAAUAGGAAGAAUAAAUGACGGUACUAUUUAUAAGGUCCGGCUAACUACGUGCCAGCAGCCGCGGUAAUACGUAGGGACCAAGCGUUGUUCGGAUUUACUGGGCGUAAAGGGCGCGUAGGCGGCAAUUCAAGUCAUCUGUGAAAUCUCCGGGCUUAACUCGGAACGGUCAGAUGAUACUGCUUUGCUAGAGUGCAGAAGGGGCAAUCGGAAUUCUUGGUGUAGCGGUGAAAUGCGUAGAUAUCAAGAGGAACACCUGAGGUGAAGACGGGUUGCUGGGCUGACACUGACGCUGAGGCGCGAAAGCCAGGGGAGCAAACGGGAUUAGAUACCCUUGUAGUCCCUGAGCGGGCUGGCAAGGCGC